rnacentral:rRNA from 1 species
GAUGAACGCUGGCGGCGUGCUUAACACAUGCAAGUCGAACGAAGCACUUUAUUUGAUUUCCUUCGGGACUGAUUAUUUUGUGACUGAGUGGCGGACGGGUGAGUAACGCGUGGGUAACCUGCCUUGUACAGGGGGAUAACAGUUGGAAACGGCUGCUAAUACCGCAUAAGCGCACAGCAUCGCAUGAUGCAGUGUGAAAAACUCCGGUGGUAUAAGAUGGACCCGCGUUGGAUUAGCUAGUUGGUGAGGUAACGGCCCACCAAGGCGACGAUCCAUAGCCGACCUGAGAGGGUGACCGGCCACAUUGGGACUGAGACACGGCCCAAACUCCUACGGGAGGCAGCAGUGGGGAAUAUUGCACAAUGGGCGAAAGCCUGAUGCAGCGACGCCGCGUGAGCGAAGAAGUAUUUCGGUAUGUAAAGCUCUAUCAGCAGGGAAGAUAAUGACGGUAC